AAAGGAAAUUAUUAGAAAGCUGCUAACUAUUCUUGAAAGCGAUUAAUAGUCGUUUUUUCCUU
rnacentral:tRNA from 1 species